CCUGUUCCUAGAGGCAUUGCAGAUGUGGCUGCUGUGUCAAAAGUGUGUCAGUAGGUGGCAGAGAGGAGAGAGCCUAUCUACACUCAGCUCAAUGUUCUGAAUAAUGAACAUCUGAAUGAGUGUUAGCCUAACUCU